CCCCAGAGCAUGAAUGGCCAAUCCUGAUUUCACAAGCAAUGGCAUGAAAUGACCAGGAGGUCAGAGGUCAGCCACCUGCUGUCAUUUUUAUUUGCAGUAAACCACAGAGUCAGGACAUACACAUAUACAGUGCAUUACAGAGCAAGUCCACGGCACUCUAUGCAGGCAGAUGAGCAGUCUCGAGCAGGCGACCACUGUUACAGAAUAACACAUCUAGGGUGGGGGAGGCAGUGGAAGUGGAAGAGCAAGAAAGGAAGGAUCUGGAUCCUGGUCCUGUGCUUUUAGUUAGCUACUGCCCCAAUCAUGGCUGGUAAAGUCUGCAUUUCUGCACUGCAAUGGAGGUGUGUUAGGACCUUUAGCUUCAACCUGUGCCCAGGGUCAUCCCUAAACACUGAGGUUUAGCUGAGUUCCGUAAGUGGAAGCAGUGCUUCUCCACUGUGGGACUGAAUUCUCUCCCAGCACACUGGCAAUUCAAGAGGGCAAAAGAGGUUUGAUACAUGGAAGGGAAAAUACUUAUAUUUCAGGGUUCCUGUAUGUGUCUGUGUCAGUGUAUGUGUAUGGGUGUGUGUAGAGGUAGAGAGCUUACCUAAGAGUUUCUUUGUAGUGUUUCUUUCAUGUUGGAUGCCCCCCACCCCCAAAUUAGCUGAUUUCUGAGCAUGAUCAGUCAAUGAGGGAAGGAAAGUAGAUUCUUGGCAGAGGGGCUAGGAGUGGCCCUCCUGGGUCAGCAGGGCUUGGAGAAACCUUGGGCCUGGUGGGAGACCCAUGAGGACAAAGACCCUACCUCCUCUCCUAUGGCUGUGGCAUUUACCCAAAGUGAAGCAAGAUCGCUACAGCAGGAAGGUCGUUAGAGCACCCCCUUGUUUGACAGAUACAGAAAAACAGGUCCCAGAAGCCUAUAGGGCGUGUUCAAGACCCUGUAAAUGAGACAGGACUGAAGCCCACUCCGUGUGCUGCUCUUGUUUUCCCAGGCAGGGUUUCGGGCCUUAUCCUAACAUGGGAUGUGGAAUGAUUCCCUUCCACAGCAGCCUCUAUGGAGCAUUUGCCAGACUUCCCCAAGAUAGAAGGUUCUUACUUGUUUUCUACAGAGAGAGAAAAUCAUCCAUCAGGAACCCCUUAGCAAGUGGUUUCUUGGAAUUAUGACUGUUUGCUAAUAAUAACACUUUCUCUGAGAUACCCACCGAACUUUGAGGUUGAUGGUACAGAGAAGCAUAAAGGCAUAAAACUUCUUCCCAUUCUAUGGAAGAGGACAGCUGUGCUGUAAGCUGGGUCAGCAACUUGCUGUAAAUCCUCUUCUCUUUAGUUGAGUUGUCUGCCUCUUGCCAUCUGAAGAAGGCAGAAAGAAAAUGUGGCACGUUUUGAAAUCUGCCUCCUUGUCAAGCGACCCACACACUAGACCACACUGUCUCUAUUAAGACCGUAGACUACCUCAGCAGGUUAGCACAGACCAAAAAGGGCAUCAGGCCCUGUCCAGGUGAACACCUGCCUUGCCUCCUAUCCAGGGUCCUGGGAGAGUUGCUUUGAAGGAAUUUUUUAUAUGCUGAUGGAAGAACCAGUACUGAAUGACCGCCAUCUGUUAUUCAGCUGUAAUCAGCAGAGACAGACUUUGUGCUAUGCUGGCUGCCAACUCUGCAUAAAAGGUUGGACUUGAUAACAUCUAAGGAAGGGCCUUUCCAACCUAAGGGGGCUAUGAUUUUAGAACUCCUUGCUCGUGGACUGUUCAUGUUAAUUGAGAUAGUUUGUUAGAAACUGUGAGUCCAGUAGGGUCGUGCUUGUUGGUUUUUUGCUAUUUGUUCUGUCUUUGUUAAUUUUACAGAAGCCCAAUCCAGCUAACUGCCAUAGCCUCUAGUCCAUUCUGUGUUCCUGGAUCUGGUUUUACAUUGAAACUGUGGUUGUUAUGGCCUGGGAUGUUCCACUAUGUCACUAUGGGUUAAACUUCCCCACAGUUCUCUCUCACAAAGGUGCUUUAUGUCUGUGAUGUGACUCAAGAGGUAAAGAGAAAAAGGAGAGUAGUAUUGAACAGAGGGGUUUAAGUUAGACGUUGAGGCCAUUUUUUAAUGGAAGAAGUUGUGAGAUGCUGGAGUGCAUCCUGAAAUUGGGCUUGGAGUAUGCCCUCUGAUCUUUCCUGGGCCUUUUAAGCACAGGUUUGCCUGGAGGUAACAAAGUGGGCAGAUGGCCCCUUAAAACCCUUUUCUAAUCCUCUGAUUUUAUGUAUGAACAUUCUAAAAAUAGAACCAUGCUGGGGUGGGGGAGGGUGCAGAGAGUGAAGAAAAAUAUGAAAAUAAAAGAAAAAAGCUGAAGAAGCAGACUCUGGGUGUGGGUAGAGGUUGAGAAAAGCAGAAUGUGAUGGGAAAAGAUGGAGAAAAAGUAAUAGAACUGCAUUGCGACAUAUUAAGAGAUUAGGGUGCAGUGCCUGACAGAUUGACAUUCUUUUUUUUUUUUUUUUUUUUUGAGACAGAGUCUCUUUCUGUUGCCCAGGCUUGAGUGUAGUGGCGAGAUCUCAGCUCACUGCAACCUCUGCCUCUUGGGCUCAGACGAUUCUCCUGCCUCAGCCUCCUGAGUAGCUGGGAUUACAGGUGUGAGUCACUACGCCCAGCUAAUUUUUUUAUUUUUAGUAGAGAUGGUGUUUCACUAUGUUGGCCAGGCUGGUCUUGAACUCCUGACCUCAGGUAAUCCUCCCGCCUCGGCCUCCCAAAGUGCUAGGAUUACAGGUGUGAGCCACUGUGCCCAGCCCAGAUAGACAUUCUUUAAAAACAAAAUAUUCACUGAUGAAUCCAUUAGUAAGUGUGUGAAUCACCCUAUCCAGCCCCAUUUUACAUGUAGGGAAAGUGAGCCGUAAUAUGACUUGCCCACAUCCCUAUUGCCAGUUGGUAUGAAGGGAGCACCAGAAUUGGCCUUGCGAGAGAAGUCCAGUGCUGAGUGGAGGGAGAUGAGCACAUUUCCCUGGACGAGGAUGUGUGGGUAGGAAGUGCCCUCAGGAUGUGGCUUCGAAGCUCAGGAAAGAGAAUGAGAAUGGCCACAGCUAAGGCCUGCGUCUUCCUUCCCUGGCCCUGCCUCAGAGCCCCAGGCCUGGAGUGACUGACGCGGCAGAAGGGAGCCGGGCACGGCAAAGGGCCUCAUGCGUUUCCUUUCCUUUCGUCAGUGGCAGUAGGAGAAACAAAUCCUGUCAUACAACCGUCCCUUCUCCUCUUGGGAGCCAUGCAAAAUAUCCACUGAAUUUGAAAGUUGGGUUCAUGAAUGGCUUUUCCUUGCUUUUUCUCUUUCCUCGUUUCUCUGAGUUCCUGAGUGUGGUUUCCAAAAGUUUCUCUUCUCCUUUAAGAAAAUGGAGUCUGGGAAUGGAUGGGACUUCUCACCAAGUCAGUCGGAGGCAGGAUGGAUUUCUUGCAGAUGACCUACCUUUGAGACUAUCUGACAGAUUUCCCUAAAUGUCCUUUUAUUUCCCCUUUGGGGGAAGAUGGGAAUUCUCAUCGAUUAGGUUGGUGCAAAGGUAAUUACAGUUUUUGCCAUUAAGAGUAUAAGCAAAACAGCAAUUACUUUUGCUCCAACCUAAUAUUUUGUCUUUCCCUCUGCCCUAGUCCCUGCUCACAAACAUCUCAGAAAGGACCUUCGAGCUGGAGUCCUCCGAAAUGUCACACAGGCGUGGCCCCCAGCUCCCACUCUGUUUCUAUCCUUGCUCCCCUGUGGUAACCCACAGCGGUGUGGCCCCAUCACAGAAAACAGCCGAGUGAAGGGGGCUCAGCACAUUCAAGUGAGCUUUGUCUUUGGAAUUCUUAUUUUCCCCCUUAGGAAGUUGGGCCACUUUUAAUCACUGGGAAAUAGGAAGAAACUUUGUGCUUCCUCUUUCCUACUACAAAACGACUGAUGAACAGUAGUACAAAUAGGCCUCUCUGUUCUGAGGAGAUAGAGAAACAAAAAGUCAUGUUGCCUAGGCGAGGCAAGCACAAGUGUGCAGAGACCUAGCCCAGCAUCCAUCUCUGGGAAGGCCUGCCAAGAGCUCUUAUAUAAGCUGCAGUGAGCUCAUGUGUUUGAUCAGCAGAUCCUGGGCUUCAGGGCCAGGGGUUAGGCUGGAGGAGGGAGCUUAGAAGAGAUUGUGUUCUUCCAAAGAGGGGGCGAUCUGGGAAGAAAACAUGUUCCUACACUCAGAAUGAUGGAGGCAAUUUUCAUCUCUGUGCCGUCAACAUAGACUUCCUUUUCUUCUGGUGUCAGUGUCAGGAGAAGAGAAGGUGAUGCUUGGUGUUAUGAACUCCAUGGUGUGAGGAAAGGGGUGGCGAAGGGAGGGGUGGUGUUUAAUGAUUCAAAGGCGGGCAGAUGCGCACUUGGGGUAUGGAUAAGAAAGCUUUCCUCUCGAUGUGUAGGAAGUCAGGUAGGUGCCCGUGUAGCUCCACCGUGCACAGGCUGGGAAUCUAUCAGGCCUUGGUUUCUAGUUGUUACUUCUCCCUUAGGCUGUGCUUAAAAUGGGAAACACGUUUCGUUCAUUGACUGAGACAGGCUGAAUAUUCUGGCACCUGCUAUCACUCAUUUUUGCCUGCUUUUCUUUGGUUUGGCGGAAUCACUGAGCUGGUAGACCUUUGCACCACCCACCUUGCCCACCAUCUUGUCCGGAACAUGUGCAGUCAGCCCAUCCUGAUCCCAGCAGCUACGCACAGAGCAAGUGGAAUGAUACCUGCUUUCCAUACAUUUUGCCUAUUGAAAAAUUCUCUCUUACCCUGCAUAAAUGAGCCAAAGCUUUUCAACCAGGCUUCCCAGAUGUUCUCUCGGGGGUUGACACACUUCCAGAUCAGUCCUGCCCUAGUGGAGGGGAGUAUCUGUACAUCACAGCAGCCUAUCCACUCCCUGAGUCUAGCUUCCUAUUCUUCACGUGAUGGCACAAUAACUAAAACUGUUUUUUAGCUGAAUAAAUAAAUCUGCAGACAUGGUGUUCUAUUGUUUUACCUGUUCAAAAUAAUAUUGUGCCCAACCACUCUGUAACUACUAAUGCUUUAAACAGCUUUUUAUUUCAGAAUUAAGAACUUGCAUUUUUCAGGUGAAUUUCUUCUUCUUUCUUUCUUUUUUUUUUUUGAGACGGAGUUUUACUCUCAGGCUGGAGUGCAGUGGCACGAUCUCGGCUCACUGCAACCUCCGCCUCCCGGGUUCAAGGGAUUCUCCGGCCUCAGCCUCCUGAGUAGCUGGGAUUACAGGCACGCACCACCACGCCCGGCUAAUUUUUUUGUGUUUUUUCAGUAGAGAUGGGGUUUCACCAUAUUGGGCCAGGUUGGUCUCGAACUCCUGACCUCAAGUGAUCUGCCUGCCUUGGCCUCCCAAAGUGCUGGGAUUACAGGCGUGAGCCACCGCUCCCGGACUUUCAGGUGAAUUUCUGACUCCUCCAACUGUUUUGCAUUUUUCUGUCUGGCAUCAUUAGUGCUUAUAACACUUUCCGAUUUAGUGUCUUUUGAGAAUUUAGUUCAUGGGCUGUUUGCUUUCCUGUUUCCAGAAGAAUCAGAAAUGUUUCAAAUACAGCUAAGACCGUCUUUGGUUCCACCCAACACUUUCUCCUCAUGAGUGAUGGUAAUGUCCUGAUGAAUUUCUGCUUGGAAACAACUGGACUCAGUCAGUUGAGAAAUGACAGAGCUCAUAUGCACAACACCUUGAAGCCUUCCUUCAGCAAUGCGGACGAUACACACAACCUUCAACACUUCAGAGAGAAUCCUCCGUGAUGAUGUAUGCUCAAGUAUUUUGGUGUGAGAUGUCAUGAUACCUAUAACUUACUUAUUAAAAAUUCAGGCCAGGCACAGUGGCUCAUGCC
rnacentral:lncRNA from 1 species